AUUGAACGCUGGCGGCAGGCUUAACACAUGCAAGUCGAGCGAGUGGCGGACGGGUGAGUAAUGUAUGGGGAUGUGCCCGAUAGAGGGGGAUAACUACUGGAAACGGUGGCUAAUACCGCAUACUAUCGGAUGAACCCAUAUCGGAUUAGCUAGUAGGUGGGGUAAAGGCUCACAAAGGCGACGAUCUGUAGCUGGUCUGAGAGGAAGAUGAGCCACACUGGAACUGAGACACGGCCCAGACUCCGACGGGAGGCAGCAGUGGGUAAUAUUGCACAAUGGGGGCAAGCCUGAUGCAGCCAUGCCGCGUGUAUUAUGAAGGCUUUAGGGUUGUAAAGUACUUUCAGCGGGGAGGCGUUACCAGCAGAAGAAGCACCGGCUAACUUCGUGCCAGCAGCCGCGGUAAUUC
rnacentral:rRNA from 1 species